rnacentral:rRNA from 1 species
UACGAAGGGGGCUAGCGUUGCUCGGAAUCACUGGGCGUAAAGCGCACGUAGGCGGAUUGGUAAGUCAGGGGUGAAAUCCUGGAGCUCAACUCCAGAACUGCCUUUGAUACUGGCGAUCUUGAGUUCGGGAGAGGUGAGUGGAACUGCGAGUGUAGAGGUGAAAUUCGUAGAUAUUCGCAAGAACACCAGCGGCGAAGGCGGCUCACUGGCCCGAUACUGACGCUGAGGCACGAAAGCGUGGGGAGCAAACAGG